rnacentral:rRNA from 1 species
AGCUCCAAUAGCGUAUAUUAAAGUUGUUGCGGUUAAAAGCUCGUAGUUGGAUUUCUGUCGAGAACGCGCGGUCCACGCUUUGCGUGAGCAUCUGUGUCGGUCUUGGCAUCCUCUAGAGGAUCGUUUCUGCGCUUGAUUGCGUGGGGCGGAACUCUAGACUUUUACUUUGAGGAAAUUAGAGUGUUCACGGCAGGCAAACGCCUUGAAUACAUUAGCAUGGAAUAAUAAGAUAGGACUUUGGUGCUAUUUUGUUGGUUUGCAUACCAAAUUAAUGAUCAACAGGAACAGUUUGAGGAUAUUCGUAUGAACAUGUCAGAGGUGAAAUUCUUGGAUUUUGAUCAGACGAACUACUGCGAAAGCAUUUAUCAAGGAUGUUUUCA